rnacentral:rRNA from 1 species
UACGUAGGGGGCAAGCGUUGUCCGGAAUCAUUGGGCGUAAAGCGCGUGUAGGCGGCUCAGUAAGUCCGCUCUGAAAGCCCGGGGCUUAACCCCGGGAGGCGGGUGGAUACUGCUGAGCUUGAGUCCGGAAGAGGCGAGUGGAAUUCCCCGGUGUAGCGGUGAAAUGCGCAGAUAUCGGGAGGAACACCAAUGGCGAAGGCAGCUCGCUGGGACGUGGACUGACGCUGAGACGCGAAAGCGUGGGGAGCAAACAGGG